CCUACGGGUGGCUGCAGUGAGGAAUAUUGGUCAAUGGCCGGAAGGCUGAACCAGCCAUGCCGCGUGAAGGUCAGUGCCCUAUGGGCGUUAAACUUCUUUUGUGCGGGAGCAAUAAUUGUCACGUGUGGCCAGACGGUAGUACCGUACGAUUAUGCAUCGGCUAACUCUGUGUCAGCAGCCGCGGUAGUACGGGGAGUGCAAGCGUUAGCGGGAUUUAUUGGGUUUAAAGGGUGCGUAGGCUGUGGGGUAAGUCAGCGGUGAAAUGCCCACGCUCAACGGGGUGAGGGGCCAUUGAUACUGUAUGGCUGGAAUGCGGAUGACGUGGGAGGAAUGUGGGGUGUAGCGGUGAAAUGCAUAGAGAUCACACAGAACACCGAUUGCGAAGGCAUCUCACGAAUCCGCGAUUGACGCUGAUGCACGAAAGCGUGGGUAUCAAACAGGAUUAGAUACCCGAGUAGUC
rnacentral:rRNA from 1 species